rnacentral:rRNA from 1 species
AGUCGUGGGGCAGCAGGGGUAGCAAUACCCGCUGGCGACCGGCAAACGGGUGCGGAACACGUACGCAACCUUCCUUUAACUGGAGAAUAGCCCCUCGAAAGAGGGAUUAAUACUCCGUAACAUAACGAAGUGGCAUCACUUUGUUAUUAUAGCUCCGGCGGUUAAAGAUGGGCGUGCGCCUGAUUAGAUAGUUGGUGAGGUAACGGCUCACCAAGUCUGCGAUCAGUAACUGGUGUGAGAGCACGACCAGUCACACGGGCACUGAGACACGGGCCCGACUCCUACGGGAGGCAGCAGUAAGGAAUAUUGGUCAAUGGACGCAAGUCUGAACCAGCCAUGCCGCGUGGAGGAUUAAGGCCCUCUGGGUUGUAAACUCCUUUUAUCUGGGAAGAAACCCACAUAUUCUUAUGUGGUUGACGGUACCAGAAGAAUAAGCACCGGCUAACUCCGUGCCAGCAGCCGCGGUAAUACGGAGGGUGCAAGCGUUAUCCGGAUUCACUGGGUUUAAAGGGUGCGUAGGCGGGCAGGUAAGUCCGUGGUGAAAUCUCUGAGCUUAACUCAGAAACUGCCGUGGAUACUAUUUGCCUUGAAUACUGUGGAGGUAAGCGGAAUAUGUCAUGUAGCGGUGAAAUGCUUAGAUAUGACAUGGAACACCAAUUGCGAAGGCAGCUUACUACACAGCUAUUGACGCUGAGGCACGAAAGCGUGGGGAUCAAACAGGAUUAGAUACCCUGGUAGUCCACGCCCUAAACGAUGAUUACUCGACAUCAGCGAUACA